rnacentral:rRNA from 1 species
GACGAACGCUGGCGGCGUGCCUAACACAUGCAAGUUGAGCGACGAACCAGGGCUUGCCCUGGGGCAAAGCAGUGAACGGGUGAGUAACACGUGGGUAACCUACCCCGAUAACCGGGACAACCCGAGGAAACUCGGGCUAAUACCGGAUGUGCUCACUGGACUUCGGUUCAGUGCGUAUAGGAAGCUUCGGCCUCCGUAUCGGGAGGGGCCCGCGGCCCAUUAGUUUGUUGGUGAGGUAACGGCUCACCAAGACCGCGAUGGGUAGCUGGUCUGAGAGGACGAUCAGCCACACUGGGACUGAGACACGGCCCAGACUCCUACGGGAGGCAGCAGUGGGGAAUCUUGCGCAAUGCGCGAAAGCGUGACGCAGCAACGCCGCGUGGGGGAAGAAGGCCUUCGGGUUGUAAACACCUUUCAGGAGGGACGAAGGUUCGGCGGUGAAUAGCCGUCCGGACUGACGGUACCUCCACAAGAAGCCCCGGCUAACUACGUG